AAAUACCUGCAUACUAUAUCAUAAUGAGCUAGUAUGCAUAGCAUACUAGCUCAUUAUGUAAUACCACUGAUCGGCGAAAACCUCGCUGCGGUGGCCGACACAACGGCUGGCGACAUGUAAUCCCGCUGUUAAACGUGCAGGUUUAGCGUCUCUGGGCAAUCACAGCGCAAAACCCGGAAGUAACUCCGGGCCUACAUGCUGCUGCCCGAUGAUGUGUCGGCCACUGCAGCGGGGGCUUUGAUCGCAGGUGAGUAUUACAUAAUCAGCUUCUAUGCUAUGCACGCAGGUCUGCCAGUCCUGGCAUGACCACCUUAAGAAAAUGCACGAUCGUUCUAAAUUAUCCCCUAAACCAUGAAUGGAGGUAUUUCAAGCACCUACAUACAGGUAAGCAUUAAUAUAGUCUUCCAGGUAGCUAAAAGUACUAUAUAUUUAUUCAUUUCUGUUGAUAUAUCUAUUUUGAAUCCUGACAUGCACUAUGUUUGUUUUUGUUGAUUUUAUUAUUUCCCAUCACAUCUUACAACUUGCAAACGUUUGAAUUGAAGUAGAUCUAUGCAUAAGGGUAAUAAUAAUAAUAAUAAUAAUAAUAAUAAUAAUAAUUAAUAAAUAAUAAUAGUUUUUGUUUACAUUCACAAAUCCAAUAUCUACUACCACCGUUUGCAAGAAUGUUAUCAACCCAAGCUGGGGUUAGUUUGUUUAUUUUUCAUUCGUUUUUGGAGUAAUGUUUUGACUCCUUGGCUCUGAAAUUAAGCCACAAAAAAAAAAAGCUACCAUUCCAUAAAGAAACCUACUCCACAAUUCCACGGCUCGCAAUACUCCCACAAACACUGGGGCUCUCCUCCUACUGUGCUCUUGCUGCAGUGCAGACUGCUGCCACCUGCCCUCAAAGAAGAAAUAUUACAGUUCACGUUUGGAAGACAUCUCACCACACUAUGGAUUUAAUCCUGGUUAAGUAUGUUGCCUGUGGCACCCUUAAACACGUGAGUGGCUUAUCAAUUUUCCCCUACUCACCUUCCAUCAUUCCAUUAAUUAUUUCUUCUAAUUUAUAUCCCUCUCUCUUUUUUUGCAGUUGCAAUUUACUGACGUCAUGUCUCACAUGCAUGCCUAACAUUGGACCUGGAUGUGGAUGAGGAGGAAGCAAAUAGAAAAACACAUGAGGUUUUUUCAGCACUUCAUAGUUUUUUGACAUCGAAAUAAUUUCUUCUAUGCCAUUGUCAGUGUAUCACCUCCACACUUCCCAGAGCUACAAAUCUAAACUCAUGCUUUAUCUUGGCCCUGGUAUUUUGAUUCCAUUCUGACCACCAGGGAUCUGAAUGCUGCUCAGCUCCAUGCAAGAUAACAUAUUUAUCAGCAUAUGACACGCACAUUUAACUCCUGAAAAGCUUUCUGUUAAAGACGGAAGAAAGAGUGAAGAUAAUGUUGAAGAUAAAGUUCUUAAAGGGUCCCAGUAGGUUGCAGUUUGCGCAGUCCUCCUUGAUAUAUCAAUCCCCCUUCAAAUCACAGUGUCCCUUUCACAGUCACGUUCUAAAGAUCAUGCACUUACCCUGAGGAGGAGCAAUGGUCCUGCCAGAAGCCGAUGCUGGAGGGUCUUGAAUGCAGCUUUCUGUUAAAGACGGAAGAAAGAGUGAAGAGUCAAGCUCUAUGAUUUUGACCCCUGCUGCUGAAUCCAGGGACAUCCUCUGCCAGAAGGACAUCUCUUAGCUCCGCCUCCCACUCUCGCAACUUGAUAGGCUUUCCUCGGUUUUGUCCUAGUCGAAGCCUCUGCAUCUUCUUUGUAACCGUUGCCCGACAAUCAUAGAACCUGCAAAUGUACAUAAACAUUACAAUUACAUUAAUAAAAAAACAAAUACUUAGAUUAAUGUUUUUUGAAAACCACAUUUCUUUUCACAUUGUGAUGGUUAUAUGUAUACUGUUCAGCAUGUGGCUGUGACAAAUAAAUUUUUUGGUUACGUUGAACUGUUA